ACUACAGCUACAUUUUAUAUAUAUUAACUACACGAUGAAAAAUAAUGUUAAUUUAAUUGAAUAUAAUCAUAGGUAAAUCAUGAUAAAAUCAAAAAUGACAAAUAUAUUUUUAAACUUUAUCAUUGUUUAUCAUGAACAAAAUAAAUAAAGUCUUCAUGGUGUACAGUGUAAUAGUUACCAUGUAUAUUUAUUGAAAAUGCGCAUGCGCAAGCGUGGAAAAAACCACAAAGAACGGUGGGCGCGUUGCAAAGGGCACUUGAAAUAGCGGAACGUUCCGGAAUUUGAUUGACAUUUCGAACGCACCCAUAGAAAGUUCUCGAUUUUGUAGCCCUCUGGUGGAAUAAAAAAGCCCUAUCGACAACAUCCUCUUGAAAAUUGAAUUUGCUCCGAGAAAGAAGUCAGUGCGGUUGAGGCAUUCGUUGCGAUAAGUACAUAGUUUUUUUUUCAACUCUGGGUGGCUCCGCCUCGGAGGGCACUUACUGGGCCCUGGUACCACCUGAUAAAGUGAUACUCAUGAUAUCAGAGUGGUUCUGGGACUAUUGAUAAUUAUUCAUUUAACGCACACAGAAAAUUGUAAUGGUCUAUAAAAAUGAAACAGAAUCGUAAAAAAAAUAAGUAGCGUCGGGAAAUUUGCCUGAAAAAAUCUGGUCAUCAUUGAAAAUUUUAUCGAAGUGAUGAUGAAAAUGUACAUCUGAACACGCAAGUUUUAAUAUAUCAGAACCCGUAAAUUCAAUGAUUUCAAUGAAAUUGAAAAACAGAGGUAAAAUCCAUCAACUCCAGAGCCAACUCUGAACAAAUUUACACGUGUUCAUGAAUAAAAUGUAAAUUCAAUAAUUUCGAAGAAAUGGAAAAACAAAGGCAGAAUUCAUCAACUCCAGAGCCAACCCUCAACAAAAUUUGUAUGUGCUCAUGAAUAAAAUAAUUUAAAUGUAAAAUAAAAUAAAAGGCAGGAUUCAUCAACUCCAGAGCCAGCUUCGAACAAAGUUACACGUGUUCAUAAAUAAAAUAAUUUAAAUAAAAGAAGAAGAUAGUUCCAGUGAUCAUAUAAAUUUACACAAUGAAGAAGGGCGUACGAUGUCUACAUCUUCAAAGCCAAAAGUACAACUAGCAGCAAUGUCAACAGUCCACGUGGUAAAAAGCAUUUGUGUAAUUAUUUUGUAUAAGUCACUUCAACGAGUUUUUUUUACUUUUUUGUAUCAUUUCGAUAGGCAUUACGAUUUUGUGAGUGCUUUGAAUGCAUAAUUGUCAGUUGACUCAUUAGAACCACUCUGGUACCACUUGAGAUUAGAAAAUUAUCUAUCACUUCAAAAAAAAUUCAUCUCAGAUUAAUAAAAUAAUUAAGCACUUUUUUUUUUUUUCUUUUUCACUCUUGUAUAGAGUAAAUAUUAUUGAGUUUUUCACUCUUGCAUAUAGAGAUAAUAAUAUUGCGUUUUUUUUUUUUUUUUUUAAUGACCAUGAGCAAGAACUGAAACUCAGGUAAACAAAAACACUAGUUAUUAUAUUAGUUUAAGUUUAGUUUUUAUAUAUAAUAUAAACGGUUGUCACGGUUGAUAAAAUUUUCAAUUAAUCUCUUAUAUUAAGUACAAGAUUAUUAGUCAGUAAUCAUCAAUAACUCUAAAAACUAAAAAAUAGUUAUUAUAAUAGUUUAGGUUUAGGUUUAUAAAUAUAUAAACCAUUGUGUCACUGUUGGUAAAAAUUUUAAUGAAUCUCUUAUAUUAAGUAGAAGAUUAUUGGUAAGUUAUAUCAUCAAUAACUCUAAAAUAAUAUAAUUUAUAAUUAUAAUUAUAUUAUAUAUUGUAAACCUUUUUUCUGAGGUUGUUAUAUUGUUAAAAAGUUUGAUCAAUCUAGUAUAUUAUCUAAUUUUUCUUAUGUUGUUUCUCUUUUUUAAUAUAAUCGAUAUUUAAAUAUUCAUAUUCAAUUUGAUCACGGUCAAGUUAAUUCGUACAAUGUACGUUCAUAAGAAUCAAGAGGCACAGCAGUGUCUCGUGUCAAGUGUUAGGAAGAAAAUAUAAUAAUGAAAAAAUAAUUCAUUAUUAAUGCAUUAAUGAUUAUACAGGUAAUAGUUAAUUAAUUAUUUAUGUAGCUUCAUAUCAAAAGAUAAAAAAAAAAAAUUUUUGUUUUUAUUAUAUUAGCACAAAUAAACCACCGCUACCUUCGAUGAGCAUAUAUGUAUAUAUAUAUAUAUUAUAAUAUAAUUACAUAUAAUAAAUAUAUAUAUAUAUAUGUAUAUAUCUAUAAAUAUUCUACGAUCGUCAAUAUAAUUAAAACACAUAUUCAUGAAAAAAUUCAAUAAAAUAAUAAUAAUUAUAUUUAAUCCACUAGCUAACUACGUUUACUGAUAAAAAACUAUCAAAUCAUUUAUAAUCGACUCAGUACUGUUGUAAACAAUUGAGUACAGCAGAUUAAAAGUGAUGUUAAUUGGUUAGGUUUAGUAAAUGAGUAUCGACUCUUUGAAAAAUAAGUUAAAUACUUAAUAAAAACAUGUAUAUCAUUAAGAUUAGUUUAGAAAUGACUUGAAAUGUUACCAUUUCUCAUAACGUCAUGUUAUUAAAAACAUAAGAUUAUUAUAUUAAAAAACUUUUUCUAAGUUAAAUGAAUAAUUUAAAUGA